rnacentral:rRNA from 1 species
AACGAACGCUGGCGGCAUGCCUAACACAUGCAAGUCGAACGAGACCUUCGGGUCUAGUGGCGCACGGGUGCGUAACGCGUGGGAACCUGCCCUUAGGUUCGGAAUAACUCAGAGAAAUUUGAGCUAAUACCGGAUAAUGUCUUCGGACCAAAGAUUUAUCGCCUUUGGAUGGGCCCGCGUAGGAUUAGCUUGUUGGUGGGGUAACGGCCUACCAAGGCGACGAUCCUUAGCUGGUCUGAGAGGAUGAUCAGCCACACUGGGACUGAGACACGGCCCAGACUCCUACGGGAGGCAGCAGUGGGGAAUAUUGGACAAUGGGCGAAAGCCUGAUCCAGCAAUGCCGCGUGAGUGAUGAAGGCCUUAGGGUUGUAAAGCUCUUUUACCAGGGAUGAUAAUGACAGUACCUGGAGAAUAAGCUCCGGCUAACUCCGUG